rnacentral:rRNA from 1 species
GUGUUCCUACGGGGGGCAGCAGUGAGGAAUAUUGGUCAAUGGGCUUACGCCUGAACCAGCCACGUCGCGUGAGGGAAGACUGCCCUAUGGGUUGUAAACCUCUUUUGUCAGGGAGCAACGCCGGCUACGUGUAGCCGGACUGAGAGUACCUGAAGAAAAAGCAUCGGCUAACUCCGUGCCAGCAGCCGCGGUAAUACGUAGGGGGCAAGCGUUAUCCGGAUUCACUGGGUGUAAAGGGAGCGUAGACGGCCAUGCAAGCCUGGAGUGAAAGCCCGGGGCCCAACCCCGGGACUGCUCUGGGAACU